rnacentral:rRNA from 1 species
UACGGAGGGGGCAAGCGUUGUUCGGAAUUACUGGGCGUAAAGCGUGCGCAGGCGGUUUGUUAAGCGAGAUGUGAAAGCCCCGGGCUCAACCUGGGAACUGCAUCCAAAACUGGCGAGCUAGAGUAUGGCAGAGGGUGGUGGAAUUUCCUGUGUAGCGGUGAAAUGCGUAGAUAUAGGAAGGAACACCAGUGGCGAAGGCGACCACCUGGGCUAAUACUGACACUGAGGUGCGAAAGCGUGGGGAGCAAACAGG